GAUGAACGCUGGCGGCGUGCCUAAUAUAUGCAAGUCGAGCGAACGGACGAGAAGCUUGCUUCUCUGAUGUUAGCGGCGGACGGGUGAGUAACACGUGGAUAACCUACCUAUAAGACUGGGAUAGCUUCGGGAAACCGGAGCUAAUACCGGAUAAUAUUUUGAACCGCAUGGUUCAAAAGUGAAAGACGGUCUUGCUGUCACUUAUAGAUGGAUCCGCGCUGCAUUAGCUAGUUGGUAAGGUAACGGCUUACCAAGGCAACGAUGCAUAGCCGACCUGAGAGGGUGAUCGGCCACACUGGAACUGAGACACGGUCCAGACUCCUACGGGAGGCAGCAGUAGGGAAUCUUCCGCAAUGGGCGAAAGCCUGACGGAGCAACGCCGCGUGAGUGAUGAAGGUCUUCGGAUCGUAAAACUCUGUUAUUAGGGAAGAACAUAUGUGUAAGUAACUGUGCACAUCUUGACGGUACCUAAUCAGAAAGCCACGGCUAACUACGUG
rnacentral:rRNA from 1 species